rnacentral:rRNA from 1 species
CAAUAGCGUAUAUUAAAGUUGUUGCAGUUAAAAGCUCGUAGUUGGAUUUCGGAGUGGGCCAGUUGGUCCGCCGCAAGGUGUGUUACUGACUGGUUUGCUCUUCUUCGCAAAGACUGCGUGUGCUCUUAAAUGAGUGUGCGUAGGAUUUACGACGUUUACUUUGAAAAAUUAGAGUGUUCAAAGCAGGCUAUUGCUUGAAUACAUGAGCAUGGAAUAACAGAAUAGGACUUUGGUUCUAUUUUGUUGGUUUCUAGGACUGAAGUAAUGAUUAAUAGGGAUAGUUGGGGGGCAUUAAUAUUUAAUUGUCAGAGGUGAAAUUCUUUGAUUUAUGAAAGAUUAACUUCUGCGAAAGCAUUUGCCAAGGAUUGUUUUCAUUAAUCAAGAACGAAAGUUAGGGGAUCGAAGACGAUCAGAUACC